AUUGAACGCUGGCGGCAGGCCUAACACAUGCAAGUCGAGCGAGCGGCGGACGGGUGAGUAAUGUAUGGGGACUGCCCGAUAGAGGGGGAUAACUACUGGAAACGGUGGCUAAUACCGCAUACUGUAGGAAAAACAAUAUGGGAUUAGCUAGUAGGUAGGGUAAUGGCUUACCAAGGCGACGAUCCAUAGCUGGUCUGAGAGGAUGAUCAGCCACACUGGGACUGAGACACGGCCCCGACUCCUACGGAGGCAGCAGUGGGGAAUAUUGCACAAUGGGCGCAAUCCUGAUGCAGCCAUGCCGCGUGUAUGAAGAAGGCCCUAGGGUUGUAAAGUACUUUCAGUCGGGAGGCGUUACCGACAGAAGAAGCACCGGCUAACUCCGUGCCAGCAGCCGCGGUAAUAC
rnacentral:rRNA from 1 species